GACGUAGGGCGCGAGCGUUGUCCGGAUUUAUUGGGCGUAAAGAGCUCGUAGGUGGUUUGUCGCGUUGUUCGUGAAAACUCACAGCUCAACUGUGGGCGUGCGGGCGAUACGGGCAGACUUGAGUACUGCAGGGGAGACUGGAAUUCCUGGUGUAGCGGUGGAAUGCGCAGAUAUCAGGAGGAACACCGGUGGCGAAGGCGGGUCUCUGGGCAGUAACUGACGCUGAGGAGCGAAAGCGUGGGGAGCGAACAGG
rnacentral:rRNA from 1 species